GGAUUAGAUACCCUGGUAGUCCACGCCGUAAACGAUGGAUGCUAGCUGGCGGGAGUCUAUACCCUUUCGCUGGCAAAGCCAACGCAUUAAGCAUCCCGCCUGGGGAGUACGGCCGCAAGGCUAAAACUCAAAGGAAUUGACGGGGGCCCGCACAAGCAGUGGAGUAUGUGGUUUAAUUCGACGACGCGCAGAACCUUACCCGGCCUUGACAUCCUUGGAAUCCUUCCGAAAAGAAGGAGUGCUACCGUAAGGUAGAACCAGGUGACAGGUGCUGCAUGGCUGUCGUCAGCUCGUGCUG
rnacentral:rRNA from 1 species